UACCCUGUAGUUUUGAAUGAAAUAAUAUCGAAUUUAGACACAUAGUAGUAGUUCUGAAUAUUCAGAUUGCUAUUGUUGUCAGUUCAUUUAGAAUGCUUCUGUUUUCCUGUCGUAACCUUCAAACAAGAAUACUAAUAGUUAGUUCAGCACUUGGAAUCAUGACCUGCCACUCAAAUCAAUCAGUGUUCUUGCUGCUGCUUAAGAUUUCAUGCAUAUGCAUUAGAUAUAUUUGCAUCCCUGUGGAUUCAAUUCGUCCAUAUAUGAGUGCUACCUUAUAUACUGGUCCAAAGCCACCCUCGCCAAGCUUAUUAUUGAUCGAGAAGCCAUCAGUGGCAGCUGCAAUUGUCCCGAGAUCAAAUAUUGGCAGUUCCAGAUCUUCACCGUGACUGCUUCCUUCAUAGCGGCGGGCGUUGCUGCGUGAACUACCGCUCCACUUACUUGAUCCUACAACCAUACAAGUCAGCAUGAAAUCCAGAAACGUACUACUUUCCCCUUUUGUUCAGACGAGAAAACCAGCAAGUGCUAAAAGAAAUGCCAGUGCUGAGAUGCUGGCGGCAACUGCGAUGAUUAUUAUUGUACUCCCCUUCCUAGAUUUGCUUGAUAAACCUGUGUAAGAACUCAUAACUGUUAGUUUGAUGCUACGGAUAUGUGCCUUGACAUGUUCAUCUGGAGGAAUAUAUGCACUCAUGAGCACCCCCAAUAUAUGCCCCAUGGUGUUCUUAAGGGAAA